rnacentral:rRNA from 1 species
AACCGCGAGGUAGAGCAAAUCCCCAAAAACGGUACUCAGUUCGGAUUGCAGGCUGCAACUCGCCUGUAUGAAGUCGGAAUUGCUAGUAAUCGCGGAUCAGCAUGCCGCGGUGAAUACGUUCCCGGGCCUUGUACACACCGCCCGUCACACCAUGAGAGCCGGGAACACCCGAAGUCCGUAGUCUAACCGCAAGGAGGACGCGGCCGAAGGUGGGUUUGGUAAUUGGGGUGAAGUCGUAACAAGGUAUC